UCCACUGUCCAAGAAGGUUCGAGGCCUCAU
rnacentral:piRNA from 1 species